rnacentral:rRNA from 1 species
GUGCCAGCAGCCGCGGUAAUACGUAGGGUGCAAGCGUUAUCCGGAAUUAUUGGGCGUAAAGAGCUCGUAGGUGGUUUGUCGUGUCUGCUGUGAAAACCUUCCGCUCAACGGAAGGCCUGCAGUGGGUACGGGCAGACUAGAGUGCAGUAGAGGAGUCUGGAAUUCCUGGUGUAGCGGUGGAAUGCGCAGAUAUCAGGAGGAACACCGGUGGCGAAGGCGGGACUCUGGGCUGUUACUGACGCUGAGGAGCGAAAGCAUGGGGAGCGAACAGGAUUAGAUACCCUGGUAGUCCAUGCCGUAAACGGUGGGCGCUAGGUGUGGGGGUCUUCCACGACCUCUGUGCCGUAGCUAACGCAUUAAGCGCCCCGCCUGGGGAGUACGGCCGCAAGGCUAAAACUCAAAGGAAUUGACGGGGGCCCGCACAAGCGGCGGAGCAUGCGGAUUAAUUCGACGCAACGCGAAGAACCUUACCAAGGCUUGACAUGCAUUGGAAGCCUCUAGAAAUAGAGGUCUCUUUGGACACCAGUGUGCAGGUGGUGCAUGGUUGUCGUCAGCUCGUGUCGUGAGAUGUUGGGUUAAGUCCCGCGACGAGCGCAACCCUUGUCCUAUGUUGCCAGCACGUUAUGGUGGGGACUCAUGGGAGACUGCCGGGGUUAACUCGGAGGAAGGUGGGGAUGACGUCAAAUCAUCAUGCCUCUUAUGUCUUGGGCUUCACGCAUGCUACAAUGGCCGGUACAGAGGGUUGCGAUACCGUGAGGUGGAGCGAAUCCCUUAAAGCUGGUCUCAGUUCGGAUCGAAGUCUGCAACUCGCCUACAUGAAGCCGGAAUCGCUAGUAAUCGCGGAUCAGCAACGCUGCGGUGAAUACGUUCCCGGGUCUUGUACACACCGCCCGU